rnacentral:rRNA from 1 species
GCGUGAGGGAAGACUGCCCUAUGGGUUGUAAACCUCUUUUAUAAGGGAAGAAUAAGUUCUACGUGUAGAAUGAUGCCUGUACCUUAUGAAUAAGCAUCGGCUAACUCCGUGCCAGCAGCCGCGGUAAUACGGAGGAUGCGAGCGUUAUCCGGAUUUAUUGGGUUUAAAGGGUGCGUAGGCGGUUUAUUAAGUUAGUGGUUAAAUAUUUGAGCUAAACUCAAUUGUGCCAUUAAUACUGGUAAACUGGAGUACAGACGAGGUAGGCGGAAUAAGUUAAGUAGCGGUGAAAUGCAUAGAUAUAACUUAGAACUCCGAUAGCGAAGGCAGCUUACCAGACUGUAACUGACGCUGAUGCACGAGAGCGUGGGUAGCGAACAGGAUUAGAUACCCUGGUAGUCCACGCCGUAAACGAUGCUCACUGGUUCUGUGCGAUAUAUUGUACGGGAUUAAGCGAAAGUAUUAAGUGAGCCACCUGGGGAGUACGUCGGCAACGAUGAAACUCAAAGGAAUUGACGGGGGCCCGCACAAGCGGAGGAACAUGUGGUUUAAUUCGAUGAUACGCGAGGAACCUUACCUGGGUUUAAAUGGGAAAUGCCGUAUUUGGAAACAGAUAUUCUCUUCGGAGCGUUUUUCAAGGUGCUGCAUGGUUGUCGUCAGCUCGUGCCGUGAGGUGUCGGGUUAAGUCCCAUAACGAGCGCAACCCUUACCGUUAGUUGCUAGCAUGUAAUGAUGAGCACUCUAACGGGACUGCCACCGUAAGGUGAGAGGAAGGCGGGGAUGACGUCAAAUCAGCACGGCCCUUACACCCAGGGCUACACACGUGUUACAAUGGCCGGUACAGAGGGCCGCUACCAGGUGACUGGAUGCCAAUCUCAAAAGCCGGUCGUAGUUCGGAUUGGAGUCUGUAACCCGACUCCAUGAAGUUGGAUUCGCUAGUAAUCGCGCAUCAGCCAU